GACGAACGCUGGCGGCGUGCUUAACACAUGCAAGUCGAACGGUGAAGCGCCUUCCUUUUUGGUGGGUGUGGAUGAGUGGCGAACGGGUGAGUAACACGUGAGUAACCUGCCCCCUUCUUCUGGAUAACCGCAUGAAAGUGUGGCUAAUACGGGAUAUUCUGCGUCUGUCGCAUGAUGGGUCUGGGAAAGAUAUUGUUUCGGUGGGGGAUGGGCUCGCGGCCUAUCAGCUUGUUGGUGGGGUGAUGGCCUACCAAGGCGGUGACGGGUAGCCGGCCUGAGAGGGUGGACGGUCACACUGGGACUGAGACACGGCCCAGACUCCUACGGGAGGCAGCAGUGGGGAAUAUUGCACAAUGGGCGCAAGCCUGAUGCAGCGACGCCGCGUGAGGGAUGGAGGCCUUCGGGUUGUGAACCUCUUUCGCCAGUGAAGCAGGCCUGCCUCGUUUGUGGGUGGGUUGACGGUAGCUGGAUAAGAAGCGCCGGCUAACUACGUG
rnacentral:rRNA from 1 species